rnacentral:rRNA from 1 species
GUCGAAUGGUAGAGGGGGCAACCCCUUGAGAGUGGCGAACGGGUGAGUAAUGUAUCGGAACGUGCCCAGUCGUGGGGGAUAACGUAGUGAAAAUUACGCUAAUACCGCAUACGAUCUAUGGAUGAAAGCGGGGGAUCGCAAGACCUCGCGCGAUUGGAGCGGCCGAUAUCAGAUUAGGUAGUUGGUAGGGUAAAGGCCUACCAAGCCAACGAUCUGUAGCUGGUCUGAGAGGACGACCAGCCACACUGGAACUGAGACACGGUCCAGACUCCUACGGGAGGCAGCAGUGGGGAAUUUUGGACAAUGGGCGAAAGCCUGAUCCAGCCAUUCCGCGUGCAGGAUGAAGGCCCUCGGGUUGUAAACUGCUUUUGUACAGAACGAAAAGGUUUCUAUUAAUACUAGGAGCUCAUGACGGUACUGUAAGAAUAAGCACCGGCUAACUACGUGCCAGCAGCCGCGGUAAUACGUAGGGUGCAAGCGUUAAUCGGAAUUACUGGGCGUAAAGCGUGCGCAGGCGGUUAUAUAAGUCAGAUGUGAAAUCCCCGGGCUCAACCUGGGAACUGCAUUUGAGACUGUAUAGCUAGAGUACGGUAGAGGGGGAUGGAAUUCCGCGUGUAGCAGUGAAAUGCGUAGAUAUGCGGAGGAACACCGAUGGCGAAGGCAAUCCCCUGGACCUGUACUGACGCUCAUGCACGAAAGCGUGGGGAGCAAACAGGAUUAGAUACCCUGGUAGUCCACGCCCUAAACGAU